UAAAAAUAAAACGAUGAUCGGUCAUCUUUUGAGAAAGCUGAUCGAAAUUCGCCUAUUUUUUAUUGAUUUGAAAAGCUGAUUUUCAGUGUUUCCCAAUUGAUGAUAUGUCAUUUAUUCAAAAAGCUGAAAAGUGUUUUCAGAUUUAGCAAUAAAUUUUAUUGAAUCUCUGUGGAAAACUUUUUGCUCAAGUGUAAAGAGUAUUCUGAGGGUAAAGUCUUGAAAAUUUUCGCGAUUUUCCACGAGAAAAUCGAUUGAAAAGUUUUCAUCAUUUCAUCUAUUUGAAACACUGAAAAAAACGUCGCUUGUUUCACAACAUUCAAACCAUCUUUUAAAACACUGAAAGUUACCAAUAUUUUCAGACGGGUUUUUCUUGGGGAAAAAUUGGUGGGACUGAGCAGGUUACAUAUUUUUUGUCUUUGCUCUGUCCCAAAAAGUAGGUUUAGCAUGAAUUCCUAAUUGAAAUUGCACUAUUUUGUGUGUAAAAUAGGUAAUAAUUCUGAUGCAACUUCAUUUAGUAAAACAAUGAAAAACAUCGCUUAGAAACAUCGAAAGUUGACAUGUCGCAAACACGUUGAGGAGCUUGUGUGAGACAUAACCUCAAUGGAGGUGUCAAAGUGCGUUGUGCUUGUGCGUUGUGCGGUGGUGUUUUCUGCAUUUUUUGCAGAAUAAUCGACAGGGGAACCAACACUUUCUUUGUGGGUGCCCUAGACGUGUUGAUUUGAAAGUUUUCAGUGUUAAAAGUGACGGUAAAGUGAAAUUUGCUUUGUGAAAUUGGCUGCUGCGGCUGUUGGCAAAGGACAUUGCUCCUAGGUGUGGUGGCCUCAGCCCCCUGAUUCACAUCACCUUGAUCUUCAAGUAGAACUGACGCUUCCGGAAGGGACAUUAUUUGUGUCCUGGCUUUAAGUUUAUCUUCAAGAAUGUUCGACCUCUGGUUAGUAUGUUUUGAUCUGGUUACUGGGGCCAAAGAGCAUCAGAAACGGCCAAAGUGCGAGUGAAGAUCUAGUUCUGAUGCUAGCCAAGAAGACAAGAAUUACGACCAAGAAUACAAUGCUGAUAAGCUGCUCCAAGAGAGAGAGAGAGAGAGAGAGAAGAGGAAUGAUAGAUCUGCAUCCCCAUCGAAGAUCGUCAAGCAGAACUUAAGAAGCUCUCAUGUCUAAUCUCGGAAAGAGACAAGCUGACGCAGGAUGAUGGUUCGGCUGGAGUUCUUCUCAAAUAGUUCUGCAAUUGUCCAAAUGUGACUCAGGAAAAAUUUCUGGUUAACGAAAUUUUCUAAAAUUCAGAUUCCCCACCAGAACACACAGAAAAUAUGCUUUUGCUAAUGCAUUAUAAAAUUACUAUUGGUCAGUCGGGUAGUAGAACAUAUAGUAUUGUCCAGUCGGGCGGAACUGUACUGGCUACGAUCGCAACGAUGGCAACAGAAGACACUGUGCUUGUAAAUUUUUCACAUCGAGAGGAAAAGCGUCUCGGACUAGUCAAAGGGGAAAACGGCAAUUUUCCUGGAUACGGGCAUUUCAUACAAAGUGGUAAGAAACUAUUGCAUUUUCAUCAUUAAUAGCUUUCUAUCAAUGGCCGCCAUUAUAUUUUUUUACUGCUCGAAAUCAAAGGAAAGCAGUAAAGGCGGCUUUGAGAUAGAGUAAUUUAUAAUCAUUUUAUUAUAAACUCGCAGCUUUGUCUCAAUAUCAAUCAUUAGGGGUUGGGGAAGUAUAUCCGUAUCGAUGUUUGUAAGAAAAUUACUUCAAAAUGCCCCAAAAUAAUUCUUCAAGCAGCCUUCCGGAAUAACUUAACCUCACUUUUCUGUAUUGCGCAGUC